AUAUUAAGGCGCCUGAUAUGACAGCCAUGACAGAGCAAGUGGCCUUCUAAUGGGUAACAACGAUGGCCUUCCUCAUCAUUGAGCUGCAAGCCACAAUCCUAGAAGAAAAAUAUACAUCCCAGGUUAGUGAAUGACUCAGAGAAAGACUUCAAGGCCAAUGGUCUGUAUUUUUGGUGGAGGCAUGUUAGUAUCUCUGGGACUGGCACAUAACUACAGGAAUGACAUAAGUGAACAACAGUGGAGGAACAACUAAAAACAGCAUGGUAAACAAUGAUCCUGCCUGCUGACAAUUGCGUACACUGCAAUGGAGAUAACCCUUGUGCUCAGUUAUCAUUGCAAUCUUGAGAACACUUGGAAGUUAUAGUAGUUUUGUGCUUGGAUUUGACGUUUCAAGAGUUGUAAGUACUGAAAAAUUGUUACUGUGACCAAUUCUGACAAAUCAGAGAUUCUGAAUAUGUAACUGAACACCUAACAGAAGAAAAAAUGUGACCAAACUGGGCAUGUAGGUAAUUUUAGUACUGAAAAUCAAUGUAAAGUUUUAAAGUAAGCUUUAAAACUGAAAUGUUAGUUUAGGGAGGCUUUAAUCAAAGCUUCUGCCAAUUUCUAUUUUCCAUGUGUGAAUAUAUGCUACAU